rnacentral:rRNA from 1 species
CUACGGGUGGCUGCAGUGAGGAAUCUUCCGCAAUGGACGAAAGUCUGACGGAGCGACACCGCGUGAAGGAUGACGGUCUAACGAUUGUAAACUUCUUUUAUGAGGGAGCAUAAUGAGUUAACCUCAUGAAUAAGGGACGGCUAACUACGUGCCAGCAGCCGCGGUAAUACGUAGGUCCCAAGCGUUACUCGGAAUUACUGGGUGUAAAGGGUUCGUAGGCGGAUUAUUAAGUUGGAUAUGAAAGACCGGAGCUCAACUCCGUGUUUGUAUACAAAACUGAUAAUCUAGAAUCAGGGAGAGGUAAGCGGAAUUCUAAGUGUAGGGGUGCAAUCUGUAGAUACUUAGAAGAACACCAAAAGCGAAGGCAGCUUACUGGAACUGUAUUGACGCUGAGGAACGAAAGCGUCGGGUAGCGAAAAGGAUUAGAUACCCCCGUAGUC